rnacentral:rRNA from 1 species
UAGGGAAUCUUCGGCAAUGGGCGAAAGCCUGACCGAGCAACGCCCCGUGAGCGAUGAAGGCCUUCGGGUCGUAAAGCUCUGUUGUUAGAGAAGAACAAGUACGAGAGUAACUGCUCGUACCUUGACGGUACCUAACCAGAAAGCCACGGCUAACUACGUGCCAGCAGCCGCGGUAAUACGUAGGUGGCAAGCGUUAUCCGGAAUUAUUGGGCGUAAAGCGCGCGCAGGCGGUCUCUUAAGUCUGAUGUGAAAGCCCACGGCUCAACCGUGGAGGGUCAUUGGAAACUGGGAGACUUGAGUGCAGGAGAGAAAAGUGGAAUUCCACGUGUAGCGGUGAAAUGCGUAGAGAUGUGGAGGAACACCAGUGGCGAAGGCGGCUUUUUGGCCUGUAACUGACGCUGAGGCGCGAAAGCGUGGGGAGCAAACAGGAUUAGAUACCCUGGUAGUCCACGCCGUAAACGAUGAGUGCUAGGUGUUGGGGGGUUCCACCGUCAGUGCUG